rnacentral:lncRNA from 1 species
GCUCUGCCCACCGGCCCUCCCGGCGUCCCCCCCCAAAGUGGCACUCGCCGUCCCCGCCUGCUCCGCUCCAGCGCCCGACCGAGGGACGAUGACCAAGCUGCUGCUGGGCCUCUCGGCCCUCCUCUGCCUGGUGGACGGGGCCCCUCCCCGGCCCCCACUGGUGGGUGAUCUUUCAGCCAUCCCGAGCGGCUGCCACAGUCCCUCCUCCGGCCCCCAUUGGCCGCCGCCCACACCUUUGAGGAAAUAAAAAGCCAGGAGGUGGAGAAGACGGGUAACCUGGCCGCCGUGACCACUGCUCUGGACCCUCCCUGGUACCUCAGAGACCCGCCCGGGGACCAUUCCUACCAGGAUGGGGAAGGUCCUGCUGUCACUGCUGGGCCUGUCUGGCCUGAUCUUCCUGUCGGUGGAUACGUCGCUCCUGUGCCACAGCUGCCAAGUCCUGCUGCGUGGGCACUGUUUGAAGGGCCCUUCCAUCUGCAUGGCGGAGCACAACGAGUCCUGCUACGCCACCAGGAUCCUCAUAUCCCACCUUGGAAACUACUUUGUUUGGUCCAGCAUGCAGGGUUGCCUGAAGAACUGCCACAACCAAAUUUCAUUUCUUGGGAGACAGAGGGUGAUCAGAUUCUGCUGCGACCACGAAGACUUCUGCAAUGUCAUCACAUAACCGGGCCUGCUCCGGACCCUGGACACCUGCCCCAACUUGACCCCCUCCCCCUGCCCCGCAACCUUGCCCCACUGUGGCCGGGGAAGGCCCAGGGUGAGGAGCCAAGGUCCAGGGAACCCCGGGGGCGUGGAGGCGCUGGAUGUCAUGAUCGCUUUUUCCCAUAAAUUCUAUCCUGGCCCCAGGAGAAGAGUCAUGUUUUGUUCGUUGUUUUUUAAUGG